AGCGCCUUUGCAAAGUAAUCGGUAUACCUCGAUAACAGCUCAUCCUCACGCCAAUAACACUCUGAGAUCCUUUAACUGAUUUUGCACGAAAACUCCAACUGCAUUUUUCAUCCACGCAACUAAGAAUAUAACGUGUUCUGUCUGAAUAUUCUGUGUGGAACUCAAAGCUUUGACUAACUGCAUGCAACCUCAACUUUGUGCUCAUUUCCUUUUUAUCCUUGAAAAACUUCCCGCAGAACAAGUCAUCAUCAUCAUCACAUUGAUUUGCUAAACAAAUUGGAGACAAGAUUUCUGAAUGGGAAUGUGAAUCUUCUCCAUGCUUUCUCUACCACGUCUACUAGAAAAAGAUGACAAUUUUGACUUUCCAAACCCAUAUACAACAAGUCCCAUCGAGUCCAAUCCUCUCUAAGAUAAAAACAUGAAACAUGUACAUUAAAAAUAGAAUUUAUAACCCAUUAUAUGACAUUGAUUAAAUUAUUAUAUAUUUAUAUUUAAGAAAGGAGAAAGUUAUAUGUACCUUAUUACUAACAAGAUUAUAUAUUUAUAUUUAAGAAAGGAGAAAGUUAUAUGUAUCUUAUUGCUAACAAGACCACUUGAAGGAGAAAUA
rnacentral:lncRNA from 1 species